UACGUAGGGGGCAAGCGUUGUCCGGAAUCAUUGGGCGUAAAGAGCGUGUAGGCGGCCAGAAAAGUCCGCUGUGAAAACUCGAGGCUCAACUUCGAGCUGUCGGUGGAAACUUUCUGGCUAGAGUCCGGAAGAGGCGAGUGGAAUUCCCGGUGUAGCGGUGAAAUGCGCAGAUAUCGGGAGGAACACCAAUGGCGAAGACAGCUCGCUGGGACGUUACUGACGCUGAGACGCGAAAGCGUGGGGAGCAAACAGG
rnacentral:rRNA from 1 species